rnacentral:rRNA from 1 species
GUCAAAGCGUUCAUUAAAGUCGAGUUGGCUUAGGGAUACGUUCGUUGGGUAGGGGAGCGUUCUGUAAGCCUGUGAAGGUGUGUCGUGAGGCAUGCUGGAGGUAUCAGAAGUGCGAAUGCUGACAUAAGUAACGAUAAAGCGGGUGAAAAGCCCGCUCGCCGGAAGACCAAGGGUUCCUGUCCAACGUUAAUCGGGGCAGGGUGAGUCGACCCCUAAGGCGAGGCCGAAAGGCGUAGUCGAUGGGAAACGGGUUAAUAUUCCCGUACUUGGUGUUACUGCGAAGGGGGGACGGAGAAGGCUAUGUUGGCCGGGCGACGGUUGUCCCGGUUUAAGCGUGUAGGUGUGUGUUCCAGGUAAAUCCGGUUCACUUUAACACUGAGGCGUGAUGACGAGGCACUACGGUGC